rnacentral:rRNA from 1 species
CUUAGAAGCAGCCAUCAUUUAAAGAGUGCGUAAUAGCUCACUAGUCGAGUGACACUGCGCCGAAAAUGUACCGGGGCUAAACAUAUUACCGAAGCUGUGGAUUGUCCUUUGGACAAUGGUAGGAGAGCGUUCUAAGGGCGUUGAAGCAUGAUCGUAAGGACAUGUGGAGCGCUUAGAAGUGAGAAUGCCGGUGUGAGUAGCGAAAGACGGGUGAGAAUCCCGUCCACCGAUUGACUAAGGUUUCCAGAGGAAGGCUCGUCCGCUCUGGGUUAGUCGGGUCCUAAGCUGAGGCCGACAGGCGUAGGCGAUGGAUAACAGGUUGAUAUUCCUGUACCACCUAUA